rnacentral:rRNA from 1 species
UACGAAGGGGGCUAGCGUUGCUCGGAAUCACUGGGCGUAAAGCGCACGUAGGCGGCUUUCUAAGUCAGAGGUGAAAUCCUGGAGCUCAACUCCAGAACUGCCUUUGAUACUGGAAAGCUUGAGUUCGGGAGAGGUGAGUGGAACUGCGAGUGUAGAGGUGAAAUUCGUAGAUAUUCGCAAGAACACCAGUGGCGAAGGCGACUCGCUGGACAAGUAUUGACGCUGAGGUGCGAAAGCGUGGGGAGCAAACAGG